rnacentral:rRNA from 1 species
UACGUAGGGGGCAAGCGUUGUCCGGAAUCAUUGGGCGUAAAGAGCGUGUAGGCGGCCCGGUAAGUCCGCUGUGAAAGUCCAGGGCUCAACCCUGGGAUGCCGGUCGAUACUGCCGGACUAGAGUUCGGAAGAGGCAAGUGGAAUUCCCGGUGUAGCGGUGAAAUGCGCAGAUAUCGGGAGGAACACCAAUGGCGAAGGCGGCUUUCUGGCCUGUUCUUGACGCUGAGGCGCGAAAGCUAGGGUAGCAAACGGG